ensembl:snRNA U2 U2 spliceosomal RNA
AUCGCUUUUCUACCUUUGGCUAAGAUCAAGUGUAGUAUCUGUUCUUAUCAGUUUAAUAUUUAAUUAUUCAUAGAAGUUAAGAGGUUGAUGUAAAUGAACAUGUAGGGGAUCCUAACGAGUCAUUGGAAGUCUC